UUUUAAACACUAAUUAGAAUGACAAACAGAGACAAAAUACAGGAGAAUCCUGCAACAGCAGCAAUAGAAAAGUUUUCUACACAGUUUAGCACUUUUUAAAACAGUCCACAUGUUCCCUACCGCCAAGCUUCCGUACAUACGAUAUCAGGGUAUUCAGCUGGCACUGGCUUGCCCUCAGCUGUCAGGGAACUUUCCCAGAGCUCUCCAAGAGCUAACAUUGGGUGAAAAGGGUGUGGGUGUGGGCUUGGGGGUGUUUCUUUCCAAUUAGACCCCAGACUCUCAGAUAGAGAUGUGCAUCUGCUGCCUGGUAGGAGAGCUGGGUGUAUUGGGCUUAGCAACGCAAAGGCUGGAAGAGAGUAUGGUUGCUGACUGUAAGCAAAUUGUUAGGGCGGAAUAAAAGAAGAGGGAAGUUAACGCUUAAAGCCAAAGGUUAUUGUGGGCCCAAGAAUGAAUGAAAAAAAUGGGAAUUGCCAGAAAAUUAACUGUUGGGGCAGCGUUUCCCAGUUUGUAGAAUCAGAAGUGGAGCUGAAGCGAGCAGCAGAGAAAAGCACAGGUGGUGUGUAGAAUCAGAAGCAGAGCUCCUGCAACAUGGUGCUGUACAUUGUCUACUAUAGGAUCAGGUUAUAUGUGGGAGUAUUCAGGAGAAAUAGCUUGGAAAAGGUUGCAUUAAUGGUCAUGUUCUGGAACAAACAUCCAGUGGGAAUGGCAGGAACCAAAAAAAAAAGAAAUCUGUGUUGACAGGGCUGGGAAAAAGAUCUCUUUUCCCUCGUGGUAGCAAUGGACUGGAUUCAAAGGCCCAAGGACUUUCCAAAUGACCUCCUUUUCAAAAUCUCUUCAGGAAGAAAUUCCAGCAGUCCUUCUCUGACACGCCUUAGGCUUCCUCUUAUUCCCACCUCCCCUGCCAAGCCACGAGGCUUCACUUACCCUGGUAAACCAAGGAGGGCUGUUCUCUGGCUGGGCAAAGUGCUGGCACUGGCUGACAGCAUACGGGAACCUCAAUUCUAAUGAGACAGCACAGAGACAGCUGGGAGACUGCUUAUGUCAUGUUCUUGCUCCUUAUACCAUCAUGGUGUGGCUGCAGUCCUCGAAUACCUUUACUUUCUUCUCACCGGUCAACGGGAUGUUCUGGGAAACAGAAGGAGCAGUUUCCAUCUCCCACGAAUGGGUUUGUUAUCCCUGCUACAUAAUUUUGCAGGAAAAAAGCAGACCCAGCAGACAAGGAAAAAAAACUAUUGAUGAAGCCAGCUGGUGCCGUGCCACAGCAAUAAGACUGGGGCAGCCCCUUUCUCCUCACACAGUCCCCACACUCAGUCUAGCUCUGCAGUUCCUCUCCCUCAGCAUCCUUAUGGAAAACAUUUCAGUGACACUCACGGGUGCUAUUUCCAGCAAGAUUCUUCCAAAUCUUCAAUAGCUGCACAUUGUCAGUGUCCCCUGUGCCCCUUUUAUCAAGUGUUGCUUCUUUUAGUCCAGCAGCCCAGAAGAGAUGAUUGGAAGAGACUCUCUUGGUGCAUGUUCUCAGUUAACCUUAGUUUUGUGUACACCUUUGUUGGCUCCUCUGUGCCAG
ensembl:lncRNA